rnacentral:rRNA from 1 species
CGGCGGACGGGUGAGUAACACGUGGAUAACCUACCUAUAAGACUGGGAUAACUUCGGGAAACCGGAGCUAAUACCGGAUAAUAUAUUGAACCGCAUGGUUCAAUGGUGAAAGACGGUUUUUGCUGUCACUUAUAGAUGGAUCCGCGCCGCAUUAGCUAGUUGGUAAGGUAACGGCUUACCAAGGCAACGAUGCGUAGCCGACCUGAGAGGGUGAUCGGCCACACUGGAACUGAGACACGGUCCAGACUCCUACGGGAGGCAGCAGAA